CCCAACUAUCCCUAUUAAUCAUUACGGUUGUCCUAAAAACCAACAAAAUAAAACAACUUCGUCCUAUUCUAUUAUUCCAUGCUAAUGUAUUCCGGCAUAAGCCUGCUUUAAACACUCUAAUUUUUUCAAGGUAAAAGUCCUGACUACCCGUAACAUUCAAUAAAGAACAUUACGUAUUACCAGGCGGAUAGAUCCCACACAUUCAGUACUCAUCUAAAAGAUGGACCAAAUGGCAAGAUCCAAAAUUCAACUACGAGCUUUUUAACUGCAACAACUUUAAUAUACGCUAUUGGAGCUGGAAUUACCGCGGCUGCUGGCACCAGACUUGCCCUCCAA
rnacentral:misc_RNA from 2 species